rnacentral:lncRNA from 1 species
AACAGCAGCAAAAACUAAACUGAGGGAUUAGAGGAUUGCAUUUGAACAUCCAGCAGCAAGGUCUUCAAAUCGUCAGGAGGCGGAGAAAGGUAUAUAGCUGAUACCAAUUGGUUCCCCAAAGCUGGACUUGGACAACCAAUCAGCACAAGAAUUGAUCUCUGUGGAAACAUGCAGAACAGAGACUUCCAGGCAAUCUCUGAAUCAAAGCACGUUGAGGACUAUAGUCAGUACAGAUGGAAUCGGCUUCCGAGGUGACUUUGGUAAGACCCAUAUCACCAGCCAACUCAAGACCUGUUAUGGUACCCAAAUCUCUGCACACAAGGAAAUACGACUACCAAUAUGAUGACUAUAACCAGCAGUAGUCCAAAUUCCAGCAUAUGAUAUCUGAUCAGGCUUCCUGCAGUAGAAUCUCCUAAAGAGGAGGAGGCUUCCACUUAAGUUCUUGAUUCCUUCUUCCCUGAGCAGCAAAAGUAGCUGUUAGAUUCGUAUCAGCAGCUCGUACGUUGAGCUUCUUUCAGAGGACGCAGAAUAAAAGCAAUAGGAUGUUCGUUAGUUCCUUCACCAGCUGCAAAGAUCCUGCUAUUUCUCCAGCUACCCAAGAUAGCCCAAUAAGCAAGCAAAAUCAAAGAUGAGCUUCUAUUCCCCUUUUAUCAUAACUGUUGAUGUCCAUCCUUACCUUCAAGAUUCCAAUUUAACAAAUCACAGAGAGUGAGUUAAAAAUGAAUCUAUUCCAGACAUCUCAAUUAACU